UUCCCCCCCCCCCCAAAGAUAUUAAGCUAAAUAACUAUUCACACUGCAGUUAGCCCUUAUCUUUAAGGCAAAGGACGUAACCAGAGACAGAAGAAUAUAGGAUGUCCAACAUGGUAAAAGUUGGUUUGUUUCCAUUUGAGUGAAUACAUUUAGGACGAUGGAGAUAUGUUUUAAUUUGUAAUCUGUCCUAGCGCUCUCAGCGAACCAUUGCCAAAAAGAAAUGGACAGGACACAGAGGAAGAGAAACAAGGCUGUUUGAAAUAGCCUUGGCGAUAGGGUAGCAAGAACGUGUCAUACCACUAGUAGUAAACGAAAACAAAAGAAAGUAAUACUCAUAGAGUGCCGACAACAGAAUUCACUUCUAAAAUAUAUAUAUAU